GCAGAUUUUCAAGGGCAUGGUAGACAGAGAAGCCUAGAGAUCUGCUAAAAAUAUUUACAGAACUGAGGGAGCCACACUAAUAGUUCACCUUUAAAGAGGACGUAAUUGUUGAAGGGUCUUCUACUUUAAAAAAGCCAGAAACAAAGAUGAAAAAGGGAAAAAGCGCUUUCGCGGCUCCUUCCAGCUCUAAGGCCGUCCCUCUCCACCCAGCAGCGCUGACAGGUGCAGCUACCGGAGGCGCCCCACACCCCACGCCCCACGACGGCGCCAGCAACUCAGCGCCCUCCUGCCCCGCGGGCCGCGCCCUCGCCGC